GACGAACGCUGGCGGCGUGCUUAACACAUGCAAGUCGAACGGAAAGGCCAUGCUUUUGUGGGGUGCUCGAGUGGCGAACGGGUGAGUAACACGUGUGUAACCUGCCCUUGACUUUGGGAUAACUUCUGGAAACUGGGGCUAAUACCGGAUAGGACCUCCUGCUGCAUGGUGGGGGAUGGAAAGAUUCGGCGGUUGGGGAUGGACUCGCGGCUUAUCAGCUUGUUGGUGUGGUAGUGGCGUACCAAGGCUAUGACGGGUAGCCGGCCUGAGAGGGUGACCGGCCACAAUGGGACUGAGAGACGGCGCAGACUCCUACGGGAGGCAGUAGUGGGGAAUAUUGCACAAUGGGCGGAAGCCUGAUGCAGCAACGCCGCGUGCGGGAUGACGGCCUUCGGGUUGUAAACCGCUGUCGCCGGUGACGAAGCGUGAGUGACGGUAAUGGGUAAAGAAGCACCGGCUAACUACGUG
rnacentral:rRNA from 1 species